UACGAAGGGUGCAAGCGUUAAUCGGAAUUACUGGGCGUAAAGCGUGCGUAGGCGGUUUCUUAAGUCUGCUGUGAAAGCCCCGGGCUCAACCUGGGAAUGGCGGUGGAUACUGAGAAGCUGGAGUACGGUAGAGGAAGGUGGAAUUCCCGGUGUAGCGUUGAAAUGCGUAGAGAUCGGGAGGAACAUCAGUGGCGAAGGCGGCCUUCUGGACCAGUACUGACGCUGAGGCACGAAAGCGUGGGGAGCAAACAGG
rnacentral:rRNA from 1 species